CAUUCUGACCCAGUUUGGUCCCGUUAAAUAGGCGCAUCAGUGCUACGUCCGCCCUCUGCUCGUGCUGGAGGUAAAAAAGUGCUCAUUAUUUGGGCAAUUUCGACCCAUUUAUUUCUAUGAGAGUAAAACAGUUCUAGGUAUCGUGUCUGCCAAGGUAAUAAUUACCUCGCUAUUUAGUUUGGUUAUUUACCAUGCUAGUUUGUGUGGUUGCUAUAUGGUAGUGUUCACUAGUUUUAGUUAUUGAAGUUUCUUCUUAAUUUUAAUUUAUCUUCGAUCGUGCCAUUUUGUGUCCAACGUCGCGUGUCUGCAACUCCAAACGCUGUCCAGUUUUGUAGGAUUUCUUGAAUUAGAUUUUAAAAUGAAGAGGGUAUAAUAUUUUAAAUUGUGAUUGCAUUAAAAUUCGACAUUAUAAAUGAUUCAAGAUAUUUAUAGGCCAGGAUAUGAACAAUCUUCACAGUAAUCAUUUGGUAAAAGAUGAAUAUCUAGGGUAUACCGUACAAUAUCUAAGGUAUACCGUACAAUAUCUAGGGUAUACCGUACAAUAUCUAGGGUAUACCCGACAAUAUCUAGGGUAUACCAUACAAUAUCUAAGGUAUACCGUACAAUAUCUAGGGUAUACCAUACAAUAUCUAGGGUAUACCAUACAAUAU